AAAUUGAAGAGUUUGAUCAUGGCUCAGAUUGAACGCUGGCGGCAGGCCUAACACAUGCAAGUCGAACGGUAACAGGAAGAAGCUUGCUUCUUUGCUGACGAGUGGCGGACGGGUGAGUAAUGUCUGGGAAACUGCCUGAUGGAGGGGGAUAACUACUGGAAACGGUAGCUAAUACCGCAUAACGUCGCAAGACCAAAGAGGGGGACCUUCGGGCCUCUUGCCAUCGGAUGUGCCCAGAUGGGAUUAGCUAGUAGGUGGGGUAACGGCUCACCUAGGCGACGAUCCCUAGC
rnacentral:rRNA from 1 species